GACAGAGGAUGCAAGCGUUAUCCGGAAUGAUUGGGCGUAAAGCGUCUGUAGGUGGCUUUUUAAGUCCGCCGUCAAAUCCCAGGGCUCAACCCUGGACAGGCGGUGGAAACUACCAAGCUGGAGUACGGUAGGGGCAGAGGGAAUUUCCGGUGGAGCGGUGAAAUGCGUAGAUAUCGGAAGGAACACCGGUGGCGAAAGCGGCGCGCUGGACCCCUUCUGACGCUGAGGCGCGAAAGCCAGGGGAGCAAACGGG
rnacentral:rRNA from 1 species